rnacentral:rRNA from 1 species
GACGAACGCUGGCGGCGUGCUUAACACAUGCAAGUCGAACGGAAAGGCCCUUUUGGGGGUACGUGCUUGGCGGACGGGCGAGUAACACGCGCGUAACUAGCCUUUCCCUGCGGGAUAACUACCUGAAACAGGGGCUAAUACCGGCUAGGUAUCCUUGCUUCAUGGAUGGGGGUGGUAAGCUUCGGCGGGUUUGGGUGGACUCGCGGCCUAUCUGCUUGGUGGUGGGGUAGUGGCUUACCAAGGCUUUCACGGGCAGCCGGCCUGGGUGGGCGACCGGCCACAUUGGGACUGAGAUACGGCCCAGACUCCUACGGGGGGCAGCAGGGGGGAAUAUUGCACAAUGGGCGGAAGCCUGAUGCAGCAACGCCGCGUGCGGGAGGACGGCCUUCGGGUUGGAAACCGCUUUCAGCAGGGGCGAAGCUUGUGGUGACGGUACCUGCAGAAGAAGCACCGGCUAACUACGUG